UACAGAGGUCUCAAGCGUUGUUCGGAUUCAUUGGGCGUAAAGGGUGCGUAGGCGGCGCGGUAAGUCGGGUGUGAAAUCUCGGGGCUUAACUCCGAAACUGCAUUCGAUACUGCCGUGCUUGAGGACUGGAGAGGAGACUGGAAUUUACGGUGUAGCGGUGAAAUGCGUAGAUAUCGCAAGGAAGACCAGUGGCGAAGGUGGGUCUCUGGACAGUUCCUGACGCUGAGGCACGAAGGUCAGGGGAGCAAACGGG
rnacentral:rRNA from 1 species